rnacentral:rRNA from 1 species
CCUACGGGUGGCAGCAGUGAGGAAUAUUGGUCAAUGGCCGGAAGGCUGAACCAGCCAUGCCGCGUGAAGGUCAGUGCCCUAUGGGCGUUAAACUUCUUUUGUGCGGGAGCAAUAAUGGUCACGUGUGGCCAGACGAGAGUACCGUACGAAUAAGCAUCGGCUAACUCCGUGCCAGCAGCCGCGGUAAUAAGGGGGAUGCAAGCGUUAUCCGGGUUUAUUGGGUUUAAAGGGGGCGUAGGCUGUGAUGUAAGUCAGCGGUGAAAUGCCCCCGCUCAACGGGGUGAAGUGCCAUUGAUACUGUCGUGCUAGAAUGCGGAUGCCGUGGGAGGAAUGUGUGGUGUAGCGGUGAAAUGCAUAGAGAUCACACAGAACACCGAUUGCGAAGGCAUCUCACGAAUCCGCGAUUGACGCUGAUGCACGAAAGCGUGGGUAGCAAACAGGAUUAGAUACCCUUGUAGUC